GCAGAGAAAAGGGAUAGAGCGAGGCGAUGGUGACAGAAGAAUAGAGGAUAGGAGGCCGGGCGUGGCCUGGCUCCAGGAGAUAGGAGACGCACCCCCUGUAAUUUGUCAGUUGGUUGAUUUCGAUUGGGCGGCCGGCGGGUGUGGCCCCGGGGCUGCCAACUCCGCAGCCUUGUUUACCAGCGGCUGGCCGCGCCCGGCCCCAGGGACUCCAGGGCUCCAGACGGCUGGACAAGAGGUUUCCACCAGCAGUUGCUGGACAGGAGUUUCAGAAAAACAAAUAUUGUCGCCCCAGACAACAAAGCAUAGUCCCGAAAACGUCCCGGGUACAUCACGGCUGGGAUGUCGUAUUUUAGAGACGGAGCAAAAGAUCAGCACCUACCACAAGUACGUCCUGUGUAGGGGAUGACGUCCCAGGAGCGGCUCUCAGCCUGGCCGGCGCAGCGGUGGUCACGGAUCCCCAGCUGAUAACAUCGGAGUAUUGCAGUCAACUGUGAACGUGUGAACCGAAGGCGCUGCUGUACGCUUCCUGGAGGUUGCGACCCGUUCGCGUGGACGACCCCGGGCCGACCUCUCCGGUCUCAGCCUCUCAUCGGGGCCUGUGUCUUGCUGCCGGUGCUGCUGCUGCGGACCCUGCUGACCUUAAUGUCCACUUAGUAUGCAACGCACUCCAGAUCAACCAAAGAGAGAGACCCUGUUGAUCGACGGGGACAGCGAGCGACCGAGCGUGGCGGGGCCGUGCGGGACCCUCAGCGACGCGCGCUGAAAAAGUAAAGGAAGGUAAACAAAGUAGGGGGUCACUGUCUGUCAGACGAGGGUGGGAUGUACAAAAAAUAAACCACUGUGCAAAAGAGAAAACAAGAGAGAAAAAUAAGUGAAAAGGGGGAGCGCGCGUGCAGUUUAAGCUUUUUCAAAUAUUUGCAACGCAAGCGACCGCAGUGCUGCUCAAUUAUUGUGAAAGCAACAAAAUGAGUCGCCACGGCGCGCAGCGUGUCUCGAUCGGCCGUGUGAUGGAGCUGGUGCGCUCAUCACACACAUGAUAGAGUUGAACGACCUGUGUCCGCGCGUGCACUGAUAAAUAAAAUGUCCAACUGGCGUGCACAUGCACAUGCACAUGCAUGUUUAAAAUAUAAAUCUUGUAUUUCAAGACCCGGUCUUGUAUCUAAUGGAAAACGCCUUCGGCAUCCAAGCAGACCAGGUCAUCCAAUACAAGAAUCUAUUUUUUACCGUGCACACUUUAAAGAAGUGUUUGACAGGAUAUUUGAAUACUUUAAUGAGGACAAAUUUUCAUUGCCAACCCUGAUGAUGAACACUUUUAAACGUUCAACUUUACUAUUAAACACUUCAUAGUAUUCAAACACCC